UACGUAGGGACCGAGCGUUGUCCGGAUUCAUUGGGCGUAAAGAGCUCGUAGGCGGCUGCUCAAGUCGAAUGUGAAAACUCGAGGCUCAACCUCGAGCCUGCAUUCGAUACUGGGCGGCUAGAGUCUGGUAGGGGGAUCUGGAAUUCCUGGUGUAGCGGUGGAAUGCGCAGAUAUCAGGAGGAACACCUAUUGCGAAGGCAGCUCGCUGGGACGUAACUGACGCUGAGACGCGAAAGCGUGGGGAGCAAACAGG
rnacentral:rRNA from 1 species